rnacentral:rRNA from 1 species
CCUACGGGUGGCAGCAGUGAGGAAUAUUGGUCAAUGGACGGAAGUCUGAACCAGCCAUGCCGCGUGCAGGAAGACGGCUCUAUGGGUUGUAAACUGCUUUUGUACAAGGGUAAACCUGAAUACGUGUAUUCAGCUGAAAGUACUGUACGAAUAAGGAUCGGCUAACUCCGUGCCAGCAGCCGCGGUAAUACGGAGGAUCCAAGCGUUAUCCGGAUUUAUUGGGUUUAAAGGGUGCGUAGGCGGAUUGUUAAGUUAGCGGUGAAAUGUCCGAGCUUAACCCGGGAACUGCCUCUAAUACUGGUGAGCGAGAGAGUGGAGGAGGGAGGCGGAAUGUAUGGUGUAGCGGUGAAAUGCUUAGAGAUCACACAGAACACCGAUUGCGAAGGCAGCUUACCAAUCUAUAUCUGACGCUGAGGCACGAAAGCGUGGGGAGCAAACAGGAUUAGAUACCCCAGUAGUC